UGCAAACUGAGGUGCAAAGGGACCUAAUGAUGUCUCAAGGUUACCUGGAAAAUGAGUAACACUGAUUGAGAACUCACAAUGCUCUUUCUUCCCUGGAAGGAAAGAUGAGAAACAAGGUACCAGGUGAACAGAGAAGGACCCCCUCUUCAUGUGGACUUGACCGCCUCAUCACCCUCCAAGAGGAGGAGGAAUCCUAUGUAUUUUUUAUCUUUUUAAUGAGAAGAACAGGAAGUUUGGACUCAGACCAACUAGAGGAGCAUUUAGCUGCUGACACAGUCGCUUAGACAGGAAGGGACAUUUGCAGUGGUUGAAAAUAUGCAUCUGAAAACAGAGUUUGGUGAGCUAUGUAGACCCUGCCUCUGCCCGACCGGCUGCAGCCCCAGGCUGGGUGGGGACUUAAGCAUCAUUCUCCCAGGUGGACUGAGAAUCAAGCCCAGGAAUGGAGAAUCCAGAAGAGGCUUCAAAUGGACACAGGAUUUCCUCUUUACUAAUUUCACACUUUGCCUUAAAGAAGAGUGAUCACAUUGUCUUCAUUUGUCCAGGCACAGCCCUGGUUGUGAUACCAUUGUCCUAGUAUAAUUAUUAAUAACGUGCCCUUUUAUCUCAAAAGUA